rnacentral:misc_RNA from 1 species
UCUCCGUAGGUGAACCUGCGGAGGGAUCAUUACAGAGUUCGUGCCCACACGGGUAGAUCUCCCACCCUGUGUUAUUAUACCUUUGUUGCUUUGGCGGGCCGCCCUCGGCUACCGGCCCCGGCUGGUACGCGCCCGCCAGAGGACCCCAAACUCUGAAUGUUAGUGUCGUCUGAGUACUAUACAAUAGUUAAAACUUUCAACAACGGAUCUCUUGGUUCUG